rnacentral:misc_RNA from 1 species
UUUCAAGUGGCGCAUUUUUAAGCCUCCUUGACUUGUUACUGCUGAUGGUGCCUGUUUCGGUCUCCGGCGGACUAGUCCAGCUGCAGGAAGGGGUAGAGCUAGACAUAGCAGACUGGUCUGAUUCUUGUUCAUGUGGAAAUGUCUUUUGCUUCUGCAGACCCACACAUGGCCUCUUGGUGAUCUCUCUCUUUCCGUUCAUCUGGCGAUCGCCACUUUGCAAGGGCGGAGACUCAUAAUCCAGCAGCGUUGGUUUCAUAAGCAGUUGAGCCAGGUUUUUAUUACUGCUGUGUGCUGUGGA